GCCCUGGUGGCUUAAUGGUUAAGAAUUCAGCUGCCAGCUGAAAGGUGGUGCUUCAAACCCACCCAGCAGCU
rnacentral:tRNA from 1 species